rnacentral:rRNA from 1 species
AUUGAACGCUGGCGGCAUGCCUUACACAUGCAAGUCGAACGGCAGCACGGGGCAACCUGUGGCGAGUGGCGAACGGGUGAGUAAUGCAUCGGAACGUACCUUUCAGUGGGGGAUAACGUAGCGAAAGUUACGCUAAUACCGCAUAUUCUGUGAGCAGGAAAGCAGGGGAUCGCAAGACCUUGCGCUGAUUGAGCGGCCGAUGUCAGAUUAGCUAGUUGGUGAGGUAAAGGCUCACCAAGGCGACGAUCUGUAGCGGGUCUGAGAGGAUGAUCCGCCACACUGGAACUGAGACUCGGUCAGACUCCUACGGGAGGCAGCAGUGGGGAAUUUUGGACAAUGGGGGGAACCCUGAUCCAGCCAUGCCGCGUGGGUGAAGAAGGCCUUCGGGUUGUAAAGCUCUUUCGGCCGGGAAGAAAUCGCACGGGCUAAUACCCUGUGUGGAUGACGGUACCGGAAUAAGAAGCACCGGCUAACUACGUGCCAGCCGCCGCAGUAACAC